AAAUUACUUUUUCCCUAACAUUACUAGUAAGAGUGAGAUUUUACUGUGUUCUUGUUUAGACAUAAUGUGUAUUUAUCAAUUGUAGUGAUAUAUGGAUAUGCGAGUAUCCAGGUAAUUUAUCAUAUUGUCCAUCACUGUAAUGCUGAGAUUUUUGUAGGUAUCACUUCAAGAGAGGAAAGUUUCUCUUACGAGUGUUUUCCCUUGGCAUUAUGCAAGCAUCCAGUUACCUUUGAUAGGCCCUGAAAUGAUGAAAGAGACGAAGGGAAUUUGCAGGUGUACAGGUAGAAUGAGACAUUUAGGAAACACAUUUUCAACAGUAUAUUUUUUAGGUUCAUUUGAAGAGGUCACAGUGAGCCUAUCAGUAAUAGUUAACAGGGGUCAUUGCUCGUAUGGAUGUGCAUGAUAAUGUGGGCCUAAAACACAGCCCAGCCCAUCUGAUCUUCCCUUAUAUAGGUAGGUGUCCUGUCAAGAAAUGACCGUCUUACCUGACAGUGGUAUUGAUCUUGCAUUAUUACAAGUAUCCAGGUAGAGUUUAUGUGUUCUGUAAUGAUGGAGUGACGAAGGUUAUUUUCAGAUGUCUUGGUGGAAAUGUUUGUGUCCUUUAACACAUAUUUCACAAUGUGUAUUUCAGGUUUCUGUAGUGAGACCCUGAUAAACCUAACAAUGGUUGGUAUGGCAGACAUUUCUGGUAUGCAGGCAAGUGAUGAUGUGUUCUUUAAC
rnacentral:lncRNA from 1 species